GGGAACCUCACCAGGCCCGUACACCGGAAGUAUUGAUAGAUUGAGAGUGGUGGUGCAUGGCCGUUCUUAGUUGGUGGAGUGAUUUGUCUGGUUAAUUCCGUUAACGAACGAGACCCCAGCCUGCUAAAUAAUCACGCUAAUGACUUUUCAUUGGCGAUUGGUUUCUUAGAGGGACAUGUAGUAUAAAACUACAGGAAGAUUGGGGCAAUAA
rnacentral:rRNA from 1 species